rnacentral:rRNA from 1 species
AGUGAACGCUGGCGGUAGGCCUAACACAUGCCAGUCGAACGGCAGCACAGUAAGAGCUUGCUCUUACGGGUGGCGAGUGGCGGACGGGUGAGGGAUACAUCGGAAUCUACUUUUUCGUGGGGGAUAACGUAGGGAAACUUACGCUAAUACCGCAUACGACCUACGGUUGAAAGCAGGGGAUCUUCGGACCUUGCGCGAUUGAAUGAGCCGAUGUCGGAUUAGCUAGUUGGCGGGGUAAAGGCCCACCAAGGCGACGAUACGUAGCUGGUCUGAGAGGAUGAUCAGCCGAACUGGAACUGGGACACGGUCCAGACUCCUACGGGAGGCAGCAGUGGGGAAUAUUGGACAAUGGGAGCAAGCCUGAUCCAGCCAUACCGCGUGGGUGAAGAAGGCCUUCGGGUUGUAAAGCCCUUUUGUUGGGAAAGAAAAGCAGCAGGUUAAUACCCCGCUGUUCUGACGGUACCCAAAGAAUAAGCACCGGCUAACUUCGUG